CCACGGCACGCUCCUCUGUGGCUGCUGCACCUCUACCUCAACCAGGAAAGUGGUGCUGCAGCUCUGAUGGCUCUGGCCUUGGUCGCAGUUGUCGUUGGCCGUCGCAAAGGUCGUUCAGGGCUCACAGGUUUCAGUUCCAUAUGCUCCAUCAGUUGAACAAGUGGACAAGAUUCUGGCUCUGUGCUUGGCGCAAAUUCUUCAGUUCUACCGUGAGGUCAACGAGACGAGUAGAACAUGGAGAAGCAAAUAUUAAAGCAGCCAAGGUUUGCAAGUGAAGCUGCUUGCAAUUAUGUGGAGCAGCUGUAUGACAAAAUCAUACAUGGGUGUCUAUAUCUCUUGGCAUGAGGGUGGAUCAAGAUAAAAAAAAUUUGGAAGUACCAAAGAAAGCAACAAGAACAUCAAAAUCAAAUGGUUGUUCAGCGAACAGUACAGUUGAGAGAUAGGAAGGUGAAGUUCUUUGAGGCGGAAGAUUGAGAGGAUGAUAAGGCGACUUGGCAAACAACACCGUUCAAAUGCUGAUGAUGCCAUGAACGAUCUGUCAACAUUGCACGAAGAUCUCGAAUAUGUUACAUUAUUUCCGAAGAACGAUAAAUAUGUCCCCUCUCUUCACUUUGAGGAACACCCUAGAUAUUGUAGAGAAGAAGAAUUCCUUGCGUAAGCAGAUCAAGGAGAAUAUCAUGGUUGCUGCUGCAAAUUAAAAGGACUUAGAAGAGACAGUAAGUGAUGAUGAUACCUUGGAUGUGAGUGGUGAUGACUUCAUUCAUGUCUUGAAGUUCAGGGUAUAAAGUUGCAGAUGAUGAGCUGACAAACAAAAGUCCAAAGUUUGAUUCAAGACUCUUGGACAUUGUGUUUGCUUCUAAAUUUGCAGAAAUAUAUCAUGCAUCAAGUUUGUUACUCAGAUCAUUACAUCGGGUGAAUGAGUUCUCAAUUACUUUGUAGUAGUUUGGCUUAGAUUGUUGCAUACAUCAGUUAGUGAUCCAGGGCUUUUCUAACGCUAUAUGUGAUUAAUCAUAAUACGGAAUUUAAUCCUUGAGAUACUUCUUGACGGCUACAAAAUCCUCUCUAGGUCUGCAAGAUAGCUAUAAAAUCCUUUUGCUCCCGCGAGAACUAGCAGCUGGUGUUUUCGAUUUGGGUAUAACCAAUUCUACCUAAGAAUUAAAAUAAAAUAAUAGAACACAUAAACCUACACAUGUGCUUGUUCUGAAAGUAUUAGUGAUAAGAGCUCUUGAUGGUAUGAACAUGGUACUCAUUAUAUGAUCAUGCAAACAUUGUUCUGGAAGUUUAAACCAUACGUUGCUCAGAGUUUGUCUGUUUUUUUGGCUAACCAAGCAUUGGAAAUCAAGUUGUGGGGCUGCACCAGAAAACGUAAGACAUAUGUUUACAUGAACUUGUGUAAAUGAAUUUACUACUUGUGUCCUUAGUUUAGCAUUUUUAUUACAGGUUAUUAGUUUAUAUAUGCACAUUAUAGCAUUUUGAAUUCGCAUCAGAGCAUGCCUCAUGUGAGCUAUAAGCUAGGUAUUUGGUUUGAUGAGCUAGAAGUACUUACUGAAUUUGUAGUUGCUUACGAGCCAACAUGCUACGCUAUCUCUUAUUCUCUUCACUAUAUUAUCGAUUUGGAAAACUAUUCAAAAAUUGCAUCAUCCUCUGCGAAGAAAAUAUCACCUUAGCAGUUUUUUUAAACUGGCAUCUGCACGAGUUGCAACAACAUCCCAUGCAGCUUCGAGCAGCUACUUUUUUUUUGAACUUGCAUCUACGAGGCAUGUGUUAUGUUUUGAAUCAAGUUUCCAAUGCAAUGUCAUGUUUUUAAAAAUGCUUACAUGUUGUGACUGAAGCAUUUGCACCAUUUGUGGCUGACUUUGAUAUUUAAGGGAUUCUUCAGUUUUGAGAGUUGUUCACCAUC